rnacentral:rRNA from 1 species
GACGAACGCUGGCGGCGUGCUUAACACAUGCAAGUCGAACGCUGAAGCUCAGCUUUUGUUGGGUGGAUGAGUGGCGAACGGGUGAGUAACACGUGAGUAACCUGCCCCCUUCUUUGGGAUAACGCCCGGAAACGGGUGCUAAUACUGGAUAUUCACUGGUCUUCGCAUGGGGGUUGGUGGAAAGGGUUUUUCUGGUGGGGGAUGGGCUCGCGGCCUAUCAGCUUGUUGGUGGGGUGAUGGCCUACCAAGGCUUUGAGGGGUAGCCGGCCUGAGAGGGUGACCGGUCACAUUGGGACUGAGAUACGGCCCAGACUCCUACGGGAGGCAGCAGUGGGGAAUAUUGCACAAUGGGCGCAAGCCUGAUGCAGCGACGCCGCGUGAGGGAUGGAGGCCUUCGGGUUGUGAACCUCUUUCGCUCAUGGUCAAGCCGCAACAAUGGUUGUGGUGAGGGUAGUGGGUAAAGAAGCGCCGGCUAACUACGUG